CCUACGGGAGGCAGCAGUGGGGGAUAUUGCACAAUGGGGGGAACCCUGAUGCAGCGACGCCGCGUGGGUGAAGGAGCGUUUCGGCGCGUAAAGCCCUAUCGGCAGGGAAGAAGAAGGACGGUACCUGACUAAGAAGCCCCGCCUAACUACGGGCCAGCCGCCGCGGUAAUACGUAGGGGGCAAGCGUUAUCCGGAUUUACGGGGUUGAAAGGGGGCGCAGACGGCGGCGCAAGCCAGGGGUGAAAGCCCGGGGCCCAACCCCGGGACUGCUCUUGGAACUGGGCGGCUAGAGGGCAAGAGGGGCAGGCGGAAUUCCUGGUGUAGCGGUGAAAUGCGUAGAUAUCAGGAGGAACACCGGUGGCGAAGGCGGCCUGCUGGACUGCGACUGACGUUGAGGCCCGAAAGCGUGGGGAGCAAACAGGAUUAGAUACCCUUGUAGUC
rnacentral:rRNA from 1 species